rnacentral:rRNA from 1 species
UACGUAGGUGGCAAGCGUUGUCCGGAUUUACUGGGCGUAAAGAGCGCGCAGGCGGUCGCUCAAGUCGCGUGUGAAAGCCCCCGGCUCAACUGGGGAGGGUCACGCGAUACUGAUCGACUCGAAGGCAGGAGAGGGUAGUGGAAUUCCCGGUGUAGUGGUGAAAUGCGUAGAUAUCGGGAGGAACACCAGUGGCGAAGGCGACUACCUGGCCUGUUCUUGACGCUGAGGCGCGAAAGCUAGGGGAGCAAACGGG